rnacentral:rRNA from 1 species
GGUAGCUAAAUGCGGAAGAGAUAAGUGCUGAAAGCAUCUAAGCACGAAACUUGCCCCGAGAUGAGUUCUCCCUGACUCCUUGAGAGUCCUGAAGGAACGUUGAAGACGACGACGUUGAUAGGCCGGGUGUGUAAGCGCAGCGAUGCGUUGAGCUAACCGGUACUAAUGAACCGUGAGGCUUAACCUUACAACGCCGAAGCUGUU